rnacentral:misc_RNA from 1 species
GUAAAAUGGAAAACACCCUAUGAGGUUUUAUAUGUAAAAUACCAAAUUACAAUCAUUUUAGAGUUUUUGGUUGUUUAUGUUUUGCAACUAAUAUUAAACCUUAUAAGCAUAAGUUUGAGAAAAGGGCUCUUAAAUGUUAUUUCUUAGGAUAUGCUUCUGAUUUAAGGCUUACAAAUUAUAUGAUUUGCAAAACAAAAUAAUAAUCGUUUUAAGAGAUAUGAUUUUUUUAUGAGACAAGUUUUCCAUAUUCAAGUGGGACUAUUGAACAAACAAGUGAAAAU